rnacentral:lncRNA from 11 species
GCAAUGGCAACGCUGGGAAACAAUUUGCUAAAUAUUUGAUAUUGGUCAACUGUCUCCAGAAUCUCACCUGGAGCUGGGUGGCUCUGUGUUGGGAGGAGGGCUUGGUUUGUGCCUUCCAGCCUGGCAGAACGGGGCUGGGCUGGAGAGCCUCUGAAGGGAGGAGGGGGUCUCUUGUGUUUCUAGGGUGCUAUGCCUCUAAUGAUCCUUGCUUGGGUUAAAAGAGGAGGAGGAGGAGGAGGAGGAGGAGGAGGAGGAGACCAGAAGUGCAAGUUGCAGCAAGGCUGAUGGGUAAAAGAGGGAGAAGAGGGAGGAGGAGGAGGAGGAGGAAGAGAGAGUGCGUGGGGGAGAAAAAGGGAGAAGGAGAGAGAGGGGGAUCUGGAGCAAAGUGUGUGUGUGUGCAGGAGGAAAAGGGGGUCCUACGCCCACCCGCCCAGGGAGAAAACUAUUGCCUUCCUUGA